rnacentral:rRNA from 1 species
GACGGAGGAUGCAAGCGUUAUCCGGAAUUAUUGGGCGUAAAGCGUGCGUAGGCGGUUCGUUAAGUCUGUCGUGAAAGCCCUGGGCUCAACCUGGGAAUUGCGAUGGAUACUGGCGAGCUAGAGUACGGUAGAGGAUGGUGGAAUUCCCGGUGUAGCGGUGAAAUGCGUAGAGAUCGGGAGGAACACCCGUGGCGAAGGCGGCCAUCUGGACCAGUACUGACGCUGAGGAGCGAAAGCGUGGGGAGCGAACAGG